AUUGAACGCUGGCGGCAGGCUUAACACAUGCAAGUCGAGCGGAGAUGAGGUGCUUGCACCUUAUCUUAGCGGCGGACGGGUGAGUAAUGCUUAGGAAUCUGCCUACUAGUGGGGGACAACAUUCCGAAAGGAAUGCUAAUACCGCAUACGUUCUACGGGAGAAAGCAGGGGAUCUUCGGACCUUGCGCUAAUAGAUGAGCCUAAGUAGGAUUAGCUAGUUGGUGGGGUAAAGGCCUACCAAGGCGACGAUCUGUAGCGGGUCUGAGAGGAUGAUCCGCCACACUGGGACUGAGACACGGCCCAGACUCCUACGGGAGGCAGCAGUGGGGAAUAUUGGACAAUGGGGGGAACCCUGAUCCAGCCAUGCCGCGUGUGUGAAGAAGGCCUUAUGGUUGUAAAGCACUUUAAGCGAGGAGGAGGCUACUGAGACUAAUACCCUUGGAUAGUGGACGUUACUCGCAGAAUAAGCACCGGCUAACUCUGUGCCAGCCGCCGCCGUAAAAC
rnacentral:rRNA from 1 species